rnacentral:rRNA from 1 species
AUUGAACGCUGGCGGCAGGCCUAACACAUGCAAGUCGAGCGAGUGGCGGACGGGUGAGUAAUGUAUGGGUAUCUGCCCGAUAGAGGGGGAUAACUACUGGAAACGGUCGCUAAUACCGCAUACUAUCGGAUGAACCCAGAUGGGAUUAGCUAGUAGGUGGGGUAAAGGCUCACCUAGGCGACGAUCUCUAGCUGGUCUGAGAGGAUGAUCAGCCACACUAGGACUGAGACACGGUCCAGACGCCUACGGGAGGAAGCAGUGGGGAAUAUUGCACAAUGGGCGAAAGACUGAUGCAGCCAUGCCGCGUGUAUGAAGAAGGCCUUAGGGUUGUAGAGUACUUUCAGCGAGAAGGCGUUACCCGCAGAAGAAGCACCGGCUAACUCCGUGCCAGCCGCCGCGGUAAUUC